rnacentral:rRNA from 1 species
AGGUGAUCCAGCCGCAGGUUCCCCUACGGCUACCUUGUUACGACUUCACCCCAGUCAUGAAGCAUACCGUGGUAAGCGGGCUCCUUGCGGUUACCCUACCUACUUCUGGUAUCCCCCACUCCCAUGGUGUGACGGGCGGUGUGUACAAGACCCGGGAACGUAUUCACCGCAGUAUGCUGACCUGCGAUUACUAGCGAUUCCGACUUCAUGCACUCGAGUUGCAGAGUGCAAUCCGGACUACGAUCGGUUUUGUGAGAUUGGCUCCACCUCGCGGCUUGGCUACCCUCUGUACCGACCAUUGUAUGACGUGUGAAGCCCUGGUCAUAAGGGCCAUGAGGACUUGACGUCAUCCCCACCUUCCUCCGGCUUGUCACCGGCAGUCUCAUUAGAGUGCCCAACUAAAUGAUGGCAACUAAUGACAAGGGUUGCGCUCGUUGCGGGACUUAACCCAACAUCUCACGACACGAGCUGACGACAGCCAUGCAGCACCUGUGUUACGGCUCCCGAAGGCACUCCUCCGUCUCUGGAGGAUUCCGUACAUGUCAAGACCAGGUAAGGUUCUUCGCGUUGCAUCGAAUUAAUCCACAUCAUCCACCGCUUGUGCGGGUCCCCGUCAAUUCCUUUGAGUUUUAAUCUUGCGACCGUACUCCCCAGGCGGUCAAUUUCACGCGUUAGCUACGCUACUAAGCAAUCAAGUUGCCCAACAGCUAAUUGACAUCGUUUAGGGCGUGGACUACCAGGGUAUCUAAUCCUGUUUGCUACCCACGCUUUCGAGCAUGAACGUCAGUGUUAUCCCAGGAGGCUGCCUUCGCCAUCGGUAUUCCUCCACAUCUCUACGCAUUUCACUGCUACACGUGGAAUUCUACCUCCCUCUGACACACUCUAGUCACUCAGUUCAGAACGCAGUUCCCAGGUUGAGCCCGGGGAUUUCACAUCCUGCUUAAGUAACCGUCUGCGCUCGCUUUACGCCCAGUAAUUCCGAUUAACGCUCGCACCCUACGUAUUACCGCGGCUGCUGGCACGUAGUUAGCCGGUGCUUAUUCUUCAGGUACCGUCAUCAGCUAUUGAUAUUAGCAACAGCCUUUUCUUCCCUGACAAAAGUCCUUUACAACCCGAAGGCCUUCUUCAGACACGCGGCAUGGCUGGAUCAGGCUUGCGCCCAUUGUCCAAAAUUCCCCACUGCUGCCUCCCGUAGGAGUCUGGGCCGUGUCUCAGUCCCAGUGUGGCGGAUCAUCCUCUCAGACCCGCUACUGAUCGUCGCCUUGGUAGGCCUUUACCCCACCAACUAGCUAAUCAGAUAUCGGCCGCUCGAAUAACGCAAGGCCCAAAGGUCCCCUGCUUUCCUCCUCAGAGAAUAUGCGGUAUUAGCUAAUCUUUCGAUUAGUUAUCCCCCAUUACUCGGUACGUUCCGAUAUAUUACUCACCCGUUCGCCACUCGCCACCCAAGAAGCAAGCUUCUCUGUGCUGCCGUCCGACUUGCAUGUGUAAAGCAUGCCGCCAGCGUUCAAUCUGAGCCAGGAUCAAACUCU